GAAAUGCGGAAGCAACCGAAGGCAGGACCUUC
rnacentral:sRNA from 1 species